CAACCCUCGAACCCCUCCGGGGGGUCGGCGUUGGGGAUCGGCCACCCCCUAGCUGGGGCGGCCGUCUCCGAAAUACAGUGGCGGUCUCGCCGCGGCCUCUCCUGCGCAGUAGUUUGCACACUCGCAACGGGAGCGCGGCGCGUCCAAUGCCGUAAAACACCCCAAACUUUCUGAAA
rnacentral:misc_RNA from 1 species